CCUACGGGUGGCAGCAGUAGGGAAUCUUCCACAAUGGGCGAAAGCCUGAUGGAGCAACGCCGCGUGGGUGAAGAAGGUCUUCGGAUCGUAAAACCCUGUUGUUAGAGAAGAAAGUGCGUGAGAGUAACUGUUCACGUUUCGACGGUAUCUAACCAGAAAGCCACGGCUAACUACGUGCCAGCAGCCGCGGUAAUACGUAGGUGGCAAGCGUUAUCCGGAUUUAUUGGGCGUAAAGGGAACGCAGGCGGUCUUUUAAGUCUGAUGUGAAAGCCUUCGGCUUAACCGGAGUAGUGCAUUGGAAACUGGGAGACGUGAGUGCAGAAGAGGAGAGUGGAACUCCAGGUGUAGCGGUGAAAUGCGUAGAUAUAUGGAAGAACACCAGUGGCGAAAGCGGCAUACCGGCGCCCAACUGACGCUGAAGCACGAAAGCGUGGGUAUCGAACAGGAUUAGAUACCCGAGUAGUC
rnacentral:rRNA from 1 species